rnacentral:rRNA from 1 species
UACGAAGGGAGCUAGCGUUGUUCGGAAUCACUGGGCGUAAAGCGCACGUAGGCGGAUGUGUCAGUCAGGGGUGAAAUCCCGGAGCUCAACUUCGGAACUGCCUUUGAUACAGCACAUCUGGAGUCCGGAAGAGGUGGGUGGAAUUCCUAGUGUAGAGGUGAAAUUCGUAGAUAUUAGGAAGAACACCAGUGGCGAAGGCGGCUCACUGGCGCGGUACUGACGCUGAGGCGCGAAAGCGUGGGGAGCAAACAGG